rnacentral:rRNA from 1 species
UACAGAGGUGGCAAGCGUUGUUCGGAAUUACUGGGCGUAAAGGGCGCGUAGGCGGCCCACUAAGUCAGACGUGAAAUCCCCCGGCUUAACCUGGGAACUGCGUCUGAUACUGGAUGGCUUGAGUUCGGGAGAGGGAUGCGGAAUUCCAGGUGUAGCGGUGAAAUGCGUAGAUAUCUGGAGGAACACCGGUGGCGAAGGCGGCAUCCUGGACCGACACUGACACUGAGGAGCGAAAGCCAGGGGAGCAAACGGG